UGUCGUUUCGGCUCAGUUGAUACGAUAUAUCUGCAAAAUAAACGCAUAAUUGGUCGAGUUAACACAUGUGAUCGUUAUAAUAAUGUAAUAGUAUAUCAUUGGUAUUCAUGGGUAGACGCGCACAAUCUGGCUAAAUAAGUGAGCAAUAACAAACUAGCAGCCGAGCCAAAGAAGGCUAGCUAGCAUUCGUAAAGAGAUCUCACAAUUUCUGCAGCAUUUUUUUCUGCUCUUCAGCCGCGUAGCUACGUAGGGUGGUCGACAUUUAGCGCUGAACACGCAGAGUCAAAAGCCCACUGCCGCACUUUUACCGUCACCUUAAGUACUACUGCCGCAUUUAGAAGCUGUCAUUUCCAGUAGCAGCGACUGCAACGACGAGGACAUCAGCCGUGCUUGUGGAAAGAUGUUUUCCCGGUAAUUUGGACAGCCCGGAAUUGCCGCAAGACAAAAAACGACGAUUCAAGCUGUGCUUCAUACAUUGAGAAAUAGAAACCCUUUUCUAGAGUCGACGGCGGCAACACAUACAGAGAAGUAAAAUGAAGACAUGGCAGGCUGCGCUGUUGAUUGUUACGGCAAGCUAUGUGUCUUCUAUUUGUGACGAAUGCUGGCGAGACAACGAAUGGAAAGUGAUAUGCUACACCUAUGAAGUACCGGAGGAUUUGUGCCCCGCAGUUCCUUGGACAUAUUGCAAUAAAAGAAGGCGGCGAUGCGUUUGCGGCUGCAAAUAUGGAACGUUUAGGAGGAUGGACUGGGCAUGCGUGCCGUAUAGAGAAUGCGGUGAGUAAAUCAGCGGACU